UACGUAGGGUGCAAGCGUUGUCCGGAAUUAUUGGGCGUAAAGAGCUCGUAGGCGGCUUGUCGCGUCGUCCGUGAAAACUCACAGCUCAACUGUGAGCUUGCGGUCGAUACGGGCAGGCUAGAGUUCGGUAGGGGAGACUGGAAUUCCUGGUGUAGCGGUGGAAUGCGCAGAUAUCAGGAGGAACACCGGUGGCGAAGGCGGGAUCCUGGGCCAGUACUGACGCUGAGGAGCGAAAGCGUGGGGAGCAAACAGG
rnacentral:rRNA from 1 species